rnacentral:rRNA from 1 species
UACGUAGGGCGCAAGCGUUUAUCCGGAAUUAUUGGGCGUAAAGAGCUCGUAGGCGGUUUGUCGCGUCUGCCGUGAAAGUCCGGGGCUCAACUCCGGAUCUGCGGUGGGUACGGGCAGACUAGAGUGAUGUAGGGGAGACUGGAAUUCCUGGUGUAGCGGUGAAAUGCGCAGAUAUCAGGAAGAACACCUAUGGGCGAAAGGCAGCUCUCUGGGACGGUACUGACGCUGAGACGCGAAAGCCGUGGGGAGCGAACAGG